rnacentral:rRNA from 1 species
CCUACGGGGCGCAGCAGUGGGGGAUAUUGCACAAUGGGGGAAACCCUGAUGCAGCGACGCCGCGUGAGCGAUGAAGUAUUUCGUUAUGUAAAGCUCUAUCAGCAGGGAAGAAAAUGACGGUACCUGACUAAGAAGCCCCGGCUAACUACGUGCCAGCAGCCGCGGUAAUACGUAGGGGGCAAGCGUUAUCCGGAAUUACUGGGUGUAAAGGGAGCGUAGGCGGUGAUGCAAGUCAGAUGUGAAAACCCGGGGCUCAACCCCGGGAGUGCAUUUGAAACUGUGUGACUGGAGUGCAGGAGAGGCAA